rnacentral:rRNA from 1 species
AUUGAACGCUGGCGGAAUGCUUUACACAUGCAAGUCGAACGGCAGCACGGACUUCGGUCUGGUGGCGAGUGGCGAACGGGUGAGUAAUGUAUCGGAACGUGCCCAGUCGUGGGGGAUAACGUAGUGAAAAUUACGCUAAUACCGCAUACGAUCUAUGGAUGAAAGCGGGGGAUCGCAAGACCUCGCGCGCUUUGAGCGGCCGAUAUCAGAUUAGGUAGUUGGUGGGGUAAAGGCCCACCAAGCCAACGAUCUGUAGCUGGUAUGAGAGGACGACCAGCCACACUGGAACUGAGGCACGGUCCAGACUCCUACGGGAGGCAGCAGUGGGGAAUUUUGGACAAUGGGCGAAAGCCUGAUCCAGCCAUUCCGCGUGCAGGAUGAAGGCCCUCGGGUUGUAAACUGCUUUUGUACAGAACGAAAAGGUUUCUACUAAUACUAGGAGCUCAUGACGGUACUGUAAGAAUAAGCACCGGCUAACUACGUGCCAGCCGCCGCAGUAA